UGGGGGGCAGCCCCAGCGUAGCACAGGGCGCCACCCGACUGACCGUGGGGGACAGGCGGGACAGUGACAGAGGAAGGAAAGCUUCCCGCCCGGUGAGCCCAGGCCGCGUGCAUGUUUGAGAAGGGGCUGAUCGCUGGCUGGGGCUGCGCUGGGGCUGGGGCUCAGAGGUGGGCGCUUGCCUGGCAUGAGCAGGCCACUGAGUUCCAUCCUCAGCACCACUAAAGAGAAGUAAAAUAAAGGCCUUGUGUCCACCCACGACUAAAGAAUAAGCUAAAAAGAGGGUCAUCAUCACCAUCGUGGACGUGAGCACACACACGGGCAGCGAGUGACCGCUCAGAGCAGGACCCAACGACGAUCAGACCCCACGCUCCCCGGGGAGACCCUGCAGCUGCUGUGGGAUGACGUCUCCGAAUGGGUCCCAUGCGUGACCUCCGUGAGAAACAGGGCAUGACACAUUCAGGACGCACACGAGGGCCUCCCGGGUCAGCAGAGUAAGCUGAGUGAGGGUCACUACAGGCGCCAACAGGGUCAGGGAGGCGGACGGAGACGGUGAAGACCAGGACCUGUUGGUCCCUCGUCCUGCAGGACAGGGCAGGUGCCGUCACCAUCACUAGAACCCAGGAGCACUGCGCGGAGACAGUGGCCAGCGGGGAGGGGCUGCGCCAGGCUGCCCUCACCUCGGGUCUGCGCACCCACCUCCCCAGGAUCCUCCCCAACUCGCCAGGCAGUGGGAUGGCAGGGGCCAGUGGGGACGGGCAAGCUCCCAGGGCACAGGCUGCGGAGCCCCGGACAGGGAGCCCAGUUGGACAGGCGGACAGGACGCCAGACACAUCCUCUCCCCACCAGAGCAUCAAAGCUCACACUCACAGCAUGCUCAGCACGCGCUCUACUCCAUCCAUCCCUGCCCGUCCCCGGCUCAGGGAGGUCUUCUUGUGAUGACUUUGGGUCACACUGAUCCAGCUAAAGAGACAAUGACCAUACGGGACAAAGCACAAUACUGUGGAACGUGGUGGCGCACGCCUGUCAUCCCAGGGCUGGGGAGGCUGAGGCAGGAGGAUCACAGGUUCAAAGCCAGCCUCAGCAACAGUGAGGCCCUCAGCAACUCAGGGAGCCCUUGUCUCUAAAUAAAAUACAGAAUAGGGCUGGGGAUGGGGCUCAGGGGUGGAGGGCCCUGAGUGCCCCCCCAACCAAAAAAAAAAAACAUACUACACACAAUAUUAAUCAGGCCCGAGGAACAGUUGCAAGCCCAGGUACGUGUACAUGGAGAGAAAGCCCAGAAGGAAAUUCUUCCCUAGACAGAUGACUGUGGACCACUUUGAUUUUAUUCUUGUGUGUGUGUGUGUGUUUUCUCAACUAAACAGAAUGAAC
rnacentral:lncRNA from 1 species